CUCGAGGCCAGAUCUUUCCGGUUGAUCCUGCCGGACCUGACUGCUAUCGGAUUGAUACUAAGCCAUGCGAGUCUUUGUAGCAAUACAAGGCAGACGGCUCAGUAACACGUAGUCAAUCUACCCUAUGGACGGGGAUAACCUCGGGAAACUGAGAAUAAUACCCGAUAGAUCAUUAUGCCUGGAAUGGUUUAUGGUCGAAAUGGUUUAUCGCCGUAGGAUGGGACUGCGGUCUAUCAGCUUGUUGGUGAGGUAAUGGCCCACCAAGGCUAUAACAGAUACGGGCUCUGAGAGGAGAAGCCCGGAGAUGGGUACUGAGACACGGACCCAGGCCCUAUGGGGCGCAGCAGGCGAGAAAACUUUGCAAUGUGCGAAAGCACGACAAGGUUAAUCCGAGUGUUUUCUGCUAAAGAAAUCUUUUGUCAGUCCUAAAAACACUGAUGAAUAAGGGGUGGGCAAGUUCUGGUGUCAGCCGCCGCGGUAAAACCAGCACCUCAAGUGGUCAGGAGGAUUAUUGGGCCUAAAGCAUCCGUGGCCGGCCGUGUAAGUUUUCGGUUAAA
rnacentral:rRNA from 1 species